CGGAACUGGCCCUUUAAGAAAACAUUCCGUGUUCGGCGCUCCCGCCCGGGGCCCGCACCCCGGACACUUUAAAAGGACCCAGGUGGCCCCGGAGGCGAGGUGACUAUCCCCCCACCCUGCCCCUGCGUCGCGGCGCGUCGCGCUGCUGCUCCCGCCCCAGCCGGGGCCGAAGAUGGGGCGGCGGCUGCGGUUUUCCACACGACUUCCUUGGAUCUCGGGGCACACGCGCCGAUAGUUCGGACGCGAGUCCGGGCUGGUUUUGCUCCGUUUUACUGCGUUUGAUUACUAAUUUAAAAGCUUUGCGUUCCCCGUCGCCCCGGCCCGCUUUUCUCCUGCAUUCUCCCCUCGGCCCCCGUCCCCGCCCUGCGAUCGCUGGAGGGGGCGUCGGGGCUCGCGCGCCAGAACCCGGCUCCUCCGAAGCCCCCUCCGGGCCCCACCGCCCCCCUCGCGCCUCCCGGCCCCCGCCUCCUCCCCUUCGCCCCCACCCAACGGCUGCUGCUUCGGGCUUCGCGGCUCAAAAACAACAGCGGAGGCGCCGCCAGCUCCGCGCUCCGCCACUGCCCAGGCCGGCGGGCGGCACUCGGACCCGCCGCCCUCGGUCCCUCGCGAGGCCACGGAGGCCAACACGCCUCGCACGGGGGGACAGCGCGGGGGCAGCCGUCCAAACACCAGGCGUCCUCGGCUGGUCGUCCCAGGGCGCCCGCACCUCUCCGCCCGCGCUCUCCUGCCGCCGCGCCCCCAAGCCCCCAAACUCCGAGGCGCUGCGGCGGAGGGGCCGGGCUGAGCGCAGGCAGGGUGGCCCGGGCCCAGGAGCCUGACGGCCUGAGUGCGGAUUUCUCAUCUGAGUAUCUGGGAAUCGAGAAUGAAUUGGAAGGAAACCGAGGCGCUGCCCUGGCCAGGUUGCUGCCCCGCACCCUUCCGGAGCACCGAAGUCCUGCCCGGCAACGGGACUUGGAGCUGCCGCAGAGUCAGCCUGAGCCCGAGGCAGGGGUCGCGCCCGCGAUGCGGGGUCUCUGCGCCGCCCCGCGAGGCUCCUGGCCUUGCCCUCCCUGCCCUUUGUUGUGUAAUAAGACCUGUGGCGGCUCCACUGAGACCCACACGUGCAACUCCGCGCCUCCGCGUUAAAGGAGGUGAAACGCAGCAGCCCUGAGAAACCCCGAGACCCCGGUGUCCUAGCAGAGGCGCCCCGGAUGGGGAGGGGCGCGGGGCCGGCGCCACCCCAGAGGAAAAGCCCAGCGGAGCCGGGUUGGGCAGGAGCUGGCGGCGGCGGUGCGCUGGGCCUUCUGCCUUGGAUCCUCCGCGGUCGGCACCGCUUCCCUGCUCAGAUUCGAACCCAGAUUCGGCUCCCAAGGCUCCCACGGCUCCAGGGUGCCCAGUCUUGCAGCCAGCUCGCCGCCCGAGCCCCGGAUGGAGGAAGCGCUCACUGGCCGCUACCUCUGCUGUUUCUGGCACCAGGAGGCGCUGCAAGGCUCCGUGCUCCUGGAGCUUCGAGUCUAUGGUAUGAGUUAAACAGAAGGGUAUCUCCUCCAUCAGAUCUACAGGAGGGUGUCUGCUCCAUCAGACCUGGAGCUUCCAAGGCAUUUUACCCGAAGCUCCAGCACCUGGCCCAAGGCUGGGCUGUGCUGUGUCCUCAGUGAAAGAAUGGAUGAGUCACAGCUGAAUGACUGAAGAGCUGAACCAAUGGGAAAACUGAUGCUCAGAGGCUUGAGCAACCUAGGCCAGGACCUGUCCUUAGAGGCAGAAGCAGGACUCAGAGGAAGAGCACCCUGACCACAAAGCCCCAGGGUCCAGAAAGACUCAGCCACUGGAGUCUGUAUUUCCUGAGUCGCCUCUCACUGCUGGAGCUGUUUAUCAUCGCUCCAACUUUCACUAAAAAGGAAAAACUAUCACUUAAACAAAGCCAUUGAAACCCCAGCAUCAUGUGUGGAUUUUUUAACAUAAAUAAAUCAUACAAACUAAGAUUUAUGUUCUUGGAAUGAUGUCAUUCAUUGAAGGCUGCCUUCCCAAUCAAAGCCGUGUUUAGUGAUUUUUCUUUAGUGGGUGUGCUUUUUGCUAAAUAGGAAAAACCCGUUCGGUCAUCCUUGCUGCUGUCUUUUCUCGGUUUGGCCCAGAACAUCAGAAAGGUUUCUCCCUGGGCCAGUCCACAGAGCCAAAUGGUGAAAAUGGUUUUAACUCCACAGACUGCUUUUAAAGCCUUUGCUUUGGAACCGUUAAGUCUGAGAUCAAAAGACUGUUAAACCUUCCCUAAGAAUGUGUGCAGGCCUCAGCAGAAGUUUAUGGUCCUCCCAGGUCUCCCAGAGCCUAGAAUGAAUCUCGCUGCAGAGUAACGCAUCUGCAGAAGCUUCACCAAAUUGAAAUGAGUGAGGAGCAUUAAAAUCAGCACACGUGGAUAAAUAACAGGUGGCAUAUCCAUGCAAUGGAAUACUAUGUCGCCAUGAAAAGGAAUGAAGAGCUGACGCUUGUUACAGCAUGAAUGAACCUGGAAAACAUGACGCUCCGUGAAAGAAGUCAGUCAUAAAAGGUCACGCUUUGUGUGAUUCCAUUUAUACGAGAUGUCCAGGAUGGGCCAAUCCAUAGAGACUGAAGACAUAUUAGUGGUUGCCUGGCUGUAGAAGUAGAGGCAGUAGUACUCUGGGCCAAUGAAGGCCCUGGGAACAGAUGGGCCACACCAGAGUCCAGCUUCAGCCCUCCAGGCAUUGAAAGGAGACCAUUAGCUGGAAGCCAGUGGGAAGUCGGGCUGACUAAUAGGGACAGGUGUCCAGGAGGCUGCAGUGUGAGGCUUUCAUUUGUUCAAGCAACACACAUUCACUGCACUCUUACCGUGUGCCAGGGACAGCCAUAGGCCCUGAGACUACAGCAGUGAUGGAGACAGACGCUGCUCCCAUCAAGGUCAUGUUUUGAUGGGGAAAGCAGCAAUAAGCCAAAUACAUAUGGGUCUGGGGUGCCAGGCUAGACGAUUCUAGUGCAAUGGACAUGAAAGAGGAGAGAGGUGAAGGCACAGUCUUCAAUCGGUUGUUCAAGAAAGGCCUCACUGAAGUGGUGACAUUUGGGCAGAGACGUCAGGGAGGGAUGAGGGAGCCACCCAAGUGUCUGGGAGAACAGCACUGGGGCAGAUGGAACAGCCAGUGCAAAGGCCCUGAGGCUCCAGUGACCAGUGUGGCUGCUGCAGAAGGACGGGGAGGGGAGGAGGGGAAAACCGUGUAGAGUGGCAGUGGGAGGACAGAUUAAGGCUGCAGGUGGAAUUAAAGUUGCUCUUUCAGCUGACUUUAAAGUAGGGAGACGAUUCCAGAUUAUCUGGGUGGCCUUAAUGUCAUCACGAGGAUCCUUAAAAGUGGAAGAGGGAGGCAGGAGAGUCAGGAUUAGGAUGAAGUGGAGAUAUGUGAGAAUAUGAGGAAGAUUCCCCUGGCUGUGCUGGCUCUGAAGACAGAGGAAGGGCCCACGAACCAAGUUACGUGAAUACGGACAGACUCUAGAAGCUAAAAAAGGCAAGGAAAUGGAUUCUAGAGCCUCCAGCAAGGAAGGCAGCCCUAUGCAUGCCUUGACUUUAGGACACUGAGAUCCAUUUCGGACUUCUGACCCACAAAACCAAAAUCUAGUAAGUGUGUGCUAUUUGAAGCUGCUAAAUUUGUAGUAAUUUGUUACAGCAGCCACCAGAAAUUAAUAUGGGGAGGAAAUAGGGAUUUCAUCUGUCCAUAGUAAAGACAUGCCGGGGGUGAUAAGAAUCUGAGCCCAUCUCACCUAGAUGAGAACGAGAGAGUAAUGACCACAGAAUAGUGGUGAUGGCCAUCCUCACAUCUGGCUCCUUAGCCACCCAUGCCAGUAUGGACUGACUGCCUUCUACGUCUUGUCCAUGGCCAUUCUCUAGGGAAAUUCCCUUGCAUCUCCUGCUACCUUUACAGACUACAUAUUUUGUUGGAUUACUUUCUCAUUUUCAUGAAGCAUAUCUUCUAGUAACUUCUGAUAAAAGAUGCAUAGGAGAUAAAUAUUUUAGGACUUCCACAGUACCAGAAUGAUGGAUGAACUGGGUAUAGAAUUCCAGAUUGGAGAUGAUUUUUUUGUUCAGAAUUUUAGAGAAUAUUGCCCCAUUGUCUUCUUGCUACCAGGCAGCUAUUGAGAAGUCUAGGAAGAUUCUGUUUCCUCGGACUUUGUGUGCAGUGUGAUUUUUCCUUUUUGGAAUUUUAUAGAAUCUUCUUUGUCCCAAGUGGUCCCAUAUUCCACAAUGAUGUGCCCUAGAAUGUGUCUGUUUUUAUCCACUGUGAGUUCUUUCCAACUGAGAACUUGUGUCCAUUAGCUCUGGGAAAUUUUCUUGAAAUACUUUCUUAGUGAUUUCUACUCUCUGUUUUGUUUCUUCUUCAUUUUUGAAACUUGAUAUUUAUAUGAGCUUUCUUCUGCACAUAUAAUCUGUGUGUCCACCAAAUGGCUUUGCUCUGUUUGUUUCAAUCUGUCUUUCCUGAGGCAUCUGCUGAUUCUUGGCUUUCUGCCCAUGAUGAGGAGCUGACUGGAAGUUCUGACAGUAAGAGAGGAGGGGUUCAUUGCCCUUGAGACCCAUGAAUGGGAGUGAUCCUUGAUCCUUGGAUGUCAGUAUCUUUAGGAACUGACCUGAUUCCCAGAGAAGUUACCCAGGGAGCAAGGGAGGGUCUGGCUGCCAGUCUUCUUGGAGUCAACUUGGAGUUGAAGGCAGGGGUCUUUGCAGUCAGCUGCCUGAAUUCUGGGAAAUAAACCUCUGGACUUUUGCUGGUGUGGGGGAGGGGUGGUCGCUCAGGGAGGAUAAGGAGGGGAUAGGAAUCCCCCUUUACUAAGCCAUCCUGAUCGUAGCCGCUCUUGCACCCCAAGUCCUAGAGGUACCCUUUUUUUUUGACGGAGUUUCACUCUUAUUGCCCAGGCUGGAGUGCAAUGGUGCGAUCUUGACUCACUGCAGCCUCUGCCUCCUGGGUUCAAAAAUUCUUCUGCCUCAGCCUCUAGAGUAGAUGCGAUUACGGGUGCCCACCACCAGGCCUGGCUAAUUUUUUUUGUAUUUUUAGUAGAGACAGGGUUUCACCAUGUUGGUCAGGCUGGUCUUGAACUCCUGACCUCAGGUGAUCCGCCCACCUUGGCCUCCCAAAAUGCUGGGAUUAUAGGCGUGAGCCACCACGCCUGGCCCCUAGAGGUAAUCUUAUACUCAGUCUUGAGUGUUAGGAUUCCCCUUGGUUAUAAAUCUGGUAAAAUCUCACCUUCCUGCUCUCUAUUCAGGAUUUUCUCUUGUCUCUGAUCCAAUUGCCACAGGUCCAUCAGCAAUUCAGCUUUCAGAAGGGAGGCCCACCCUUAUGGGUAGAUGCCUUUUGAAAUCUCUUUAUUGUGGUUGAAGUGGGGCUUACAGAGGGGACGCUAUUGAAUGGGUGUGUGUUUAGUUUGCCAUCUUAACCCGAGGCUUUUGUGGCUAUUUUAGAAAGACUGUGUCCAUUCUUAGGUCUAGGCCCGAUACCACACACAGUGUCCACACACAGGGGCUCUGACCCCACAGGGUUCUUUGGGUCCUGAUCAAUGAUCUUUCAAGAGCCUCCCCCUUGACCUGCUUCUGGCCACAGAAACAGCUGAUAAAUGAAAUUUGUUAGUUUCCUACAAUGGAGUGUUGCAUCAGCAGUGAACAUAGUGACAAGAGUGCAUGCUUAUCACCACGCUGACAUGUCCCUGAGACAUGGGGGCGACCUUUAAGAAUGUCAGCUGAAAUAUUAACAGCGGUUUUCCCUGGGUGAUUAGAUCUGAUAAUAUUAAAACUUUUUUCUCUGUUAUGUUUCUCUGCAUUUAAUUUUUCUCCACUGACUGUAUAUUAGUGGUGGAAGUGUUACAAUGUUUAAAAAUAAGAACAUCAAAAAAUUAGCCCAGGGUGGUGGUGGCAUGUUCCUGUGGUCCCAGCUACUCAGGAGGCUGAGGCAGGAGGAUCUCCUGAGCGCAGGAGGUAGAGGUUGCAGUGAGCCAAGAUCUCACCACUGCACCCCAGCCUGGGUGACAGAGUGAGAUCCUGUCUCAAAAAAUAAAAAUAAAAAUGAGAAGAAAAUCCUAUCUGUCCUUCAAUAACCAGCUCAGCCACUGCUACCUCCCGGGAGUCUCCCGUAUUCCCACUGUUGGGAAUGCUUCCUGCACCACAUUAAAUAAAC
rnacentral:lncRNA from 1 species